rnacentral:miRNA from 1 species
UAAAGAAACACUCCAGGCACCAUUACCACUACAGUGAGCUGUAGUGGUUAUGGUGUUUGGAGUGUUCCUUUA